UUUUUUUAAAAAAAACAACCCUCCCAAAGAAUAUGCUAUGUUCACUGGGUUGGUGGUACAGGCCCUCAGGGGAAGGAGUUUUCCUACGCAUACUUUCAAAUCUGCCUUUUCCCCACCCUGAAUACCCAGCCAUAGAGCGUUCCAGGCGCUUCUCCGGUUAUAUUUAGCUCAAGGCCCUUUAAAACGGCAACUUUGUUGGCGUAAGGCUGGGAAGCACUUUAAGGUCAUGACAUCUGAUCCAGUCCCAUGCACUGAGGCAGGCUUCUCUUCCCCAUUCUGGUAUUAUAGACACACACAGAGAGAGAGAGAGAGAGAGAGAGAGAGAGAGACAGAGAGACAGAGAGAGACAGACACACACACACACACACACGAUUUUGAUUUUGCCUUAAUGAAGCCAGAAUAACUACAGUUCUCUUCUAUAUUUGCAACCAGGAACAUUAAGCAGAAUUCUAACUGCAUAAUUCAUGUGCAACCCACAUUUGUUUAUUUAGGGUGCAGUAUUUGCUACCUUGCUCUUCUGUUCUCAAAGGGUUUUCCAAAGCAACUUACAAAGGAACUUUCAAAAUAACAGCAAACAAAGCUUUUUAUUACCCUUUAAGCUUUCUAGGUGGUUUAUAAAAUACGUUACAUCUUUAUCUGCAGGAAUUGAUCCUGAAUAUAUAUCGACACCUAUAUAUUUCCCUCCCCAAUUUGAAGGUGCAAUUUUUAAUACUCAUGUGGGGAUGGGUAAAUUCCAUCCUUCCCGCUGCUAUACUUCUCUUUGAUUUGGGAUGCAUCUAUGCAACUGCUAUGAACUUUUUUUUUCUACACUCCAUAAGAUCCCUGUCACAGAUCUGCACCCAAGCCUAGGGUAUCACUGAAAUUGUAUCUGAUCUGGCACCAAUGGAAGCUUUUCUCCUGACACAAAUAGCAGGCACUAGGAUUUGGGAUGGGGGAAGAAAUUUAACUUUGUUUGCAUUUUAGCGAGAUACUACCUAAUUUGCACUUCUCAAAGGAAUAUGAGAACCAAAACAUAGCCAUCCUUCAAAAUCUGCACUUCUCUGAAUUUUGUGAUGUAGAGCUGUCCAGGGUUUCAGACUGAGGUCUCUCCCAAACCAACUUGGAGAUGCCUCAGAUCGCCUCUCCCUGUAUGAACUGACCUGGAAACUGCAAUCAUCAUAUGAGGACCUUCUUUGUGUGCCUCUUCCAUGAGAGGUCCAGAGGGAGGCAACAUGAGAACAAGCCUUUUCUGUGGUGGCUCCCCACUUUGGAAUGCUCUCCCUAGGGAGGCUCGCCUAGCACCAUCAUUACACAUCUUUAGGGACCAGGCAGAAACAUUCCUCUUAUCCCAUGCCUUUGGCUAAUUAAAUAAUCUAUGGCCUUUUAAACUAUAGAGGGGUAUUGUUUUUAUUUGUUAUUAUGGUAUGUAUUUUUAUAUUGUAAACCACCCUGAGAUCUUCGGGUGAGGGGUGAAAUAAAAACUUAAUAAAUAAUAGUAAUAAUAAAAAAUAAUACUAGGGAUUGAACCUGGGAGCUUCUGCAUGCAAACCCGAUGCCGUACCACAUAGCUGCACAGUUUCCCUAAGACAGAGCCAAUACUUCUGGCUUUCUGGCUUUCCUCAGUGCAAAAUUGGGUCAUUAACUAAUAUAAAUGAUUGGCUAGCCAAGCACAUACAUGAUUAUAUAGACCUGCUCUGAGAGCCAGAUGAGAGGGGGGGCAUUUUGCUUAUCACCAAUGUAAAGGUGUUAGGGCAGUUUCACAAGACACCAAAAAGAGGGUGUCCCCCCCCCCCCAUGCAUAUUCUGUAAAGUGAUUUUUUUAAUUCUACACUAACUAAUGUAAGUUUUACAAUCACAUUACAGAACUUUCAUCUGGAGCUUCAAAGAUUAGCUGUAUCAAUUUUUCAACAAGCAGAUGAUUGAAUUAAACAUUGAAUAGUUGCUCUGAUAGUUAGCUCUGAGGAAGAGCUCUAAUAAUUUAUUGAUUUCUUUCAUUUUACAUGGUAAAGGUUAAAAAGAGCUUUGACGUAUUUUCCAGGAAUGAACAUGCACAUGAAAACAAACCAGGAAAUUGCACCUCACUAUGUCUCCUGGUAGGUCUAUUUCUUGGGGAUAAAGGUACUGUCAACCUUUAGCAUUAUGUAACCAUUAAUUGCAUUCUAAUUAUUAGCUAGAUUAAAACUAGUUAGAUUAGUGCCUUGAAGCACACAUCUAUGUUUUCUCUCUCUUCAAUCUAGACUUAUAUUCUAGGGAAGCUUUCACAAAUGAUGCUAAUAACAUAUUUUAUCUGGAAUGUGUCCCUUGUAGAUGUUUCUACUGCAAAUAGAAAAUGCAUUUUAAUCAAAUGUACAUUCUAGCCUUUGUAGGUUUUACAAUUAAAUUAUAUAAGCAAUGGAACAGUGUGAAAUUAAAGCUGCCUAUAGGGGGCUACUCUCGACUAUGAGAACCUUUAACUCCUACAGAAUGUGCUAAGGUUGUGUCAGAGACUGUGAUCCAAAGCAUGUUUACUCACAACUCCAAUGAAGCUUGCUCGAAGUAAGAGCAUUUAGUGUUGCAGCCUGAGCCAGGCUUCUCAUACAGUGUUUUUUAUUUGGGUGUAUAAACCUGAUUACAAAAAUUGGCAGUUGCAAAAGGUACAUAUUAUUCACUUGUUGUUGUGAUGGCCACUAACUGAAUGCCUUGAAAAGACAAAUUCAUGGGGGAUAAGUAGCAGUGACUAAUUCUGAUAGCUAUAAAUUACCUUCAGAAUCAGAGGCAGGGUGUAUCAGAAUAUCCUGUCACUGGGGAACAACAGCAGGAAGCUAUUGCUCUUAUGCCAUACAGUGGUACCUCGGGUUACAGACGCUUCAGGUUACAGACUCCGCUAACCCAGAAAUAGUACCUCGGGUUAAGAACUUUGCUUCAGGAGGAGAACAGAAAUUGUGCGGUGGUGGCACAGCAGCAGCAGGAGGCCCCAUUAGCUAAAGUGGUACCUCAGGUUAAGAACAGCUUCAGCUUAAGAAUGGACCUCCGGAACGAAUUAAGUUCUUAACCCGAGGUACCACUGUACCUGUGAGCUUCCCAUAGGCAUCUGGAUGCUGAAUUAGAUAGGCCUUUAGUCUGGUCCAGCAGGGCUCUGUAUUCAUUCCUGUGUUAAUUUUAUUCAAACAAGAAUUACAAAUAUAGUCAGUGUUAUAGUUUGAACUGAACCCUAAGAUACCUGAGAAUAAGUGUUACUGAAUUCAGUAGGACUUGCUUCUGGGUAAAUUGCAAUGUAUAUAUAUUUGGCUUUUCCAACUAGGAUAAUAGCUGAAAAUUUUAUUUUAAUAGCUUCACUAUUUUAUUUAUUUGCUUACAAAAAGGAAAGUUUUAUUAUUUGGGUCUAGAAAAGGUAACCCUGUAUGGAAGUAAUCAUUUAAUUUAUUCUGCAUGCUCAUAAAGGCUUUGUAAUUGUGUUUCUCAAACAAGAUCCCUCUUGCUUAUGGCAAAUCUCUUUUGAAUUCUAAAGCAGUUUGUGAUAUGGCAUUUGGGUCUGCUGUUCAAAACAAAACAAAUGAAUUGGGCAUGUCCAAACCCUUGAGUUCCCCAGCCUAACAUAUCUAUUUGGAUCCCUGCCACUUUGUAGACUUCAGGGUUAUCAUUCAGAAACAGAAGAAACAAACACGUCACGCUAAAGAGCUCAAGAAACAAGCAGCCCUACAAUGGUUGUUUUCAGUUUAUAUAUUUAUAAUGCAGCUGAAGGCAAUUCAGUUAUGUUUAUAAAAAUAUACCAUCACAAACAAAAGCCUCCAAUCCUUUGUGCACUGGAUUCUGAAUAAGCAUACACAGGUUUGAGCUGCAACUGUCAUAGUUGCCAUAAAUUAAUUUAGCUGCCCUGAAUCCAUUUUUUGUGUAUAUUCCACUCCAUCAUAGGACAAUUGCACUCUCAUAUCAUAUUCAAUAUAUCAUAUCAUAAGAGCACUGCCACCAUAUCAUCAACAUCAUAAAAUAUAUUGUGAACCGCCCUCAGCUCUUCAGAUAACGGGCAACAUGUAAAUAAAAUAUUAAAAAGUAAAGGUAAAGGUACCCCUGCCCGUACAGGCCAGUCGUGUCUGACUCUGGGGUUGCGCGCCCAUCUCGCUUAAGAGGCCGGGGGCCAGCGCUGUCCAAAGACACUUCCGGGUCACGUGGCCAGCGUGACAAGCUGCAUCUGGCUAAAUAAAAUAUUACCCACCCAUUUAAAACCGCAAUAUACCUGCUGAAAAUUGAGAAGCAGCAGUUAAUUUAUCAUAGCAAUUAAUAAAAAGCAGACCAAAAUAACUUCCAUGUUCAUGUCCAAAUAACGGGGUCACAGCGGGUGGUGCUGUGAUCUAAUCCACUGAGCCUCUUGGGCUUGCCGAUCAGAAGGUUGAUGGUUCGAAUCACCGCAAUGGGGUGAGCUUUGUGCGCUCUGGUUUCCGUCACAGUGUUCCGUUGCGCCAAAGCGGUUUAGUCAUGCUACCUUUUUACCUAUUGGGGCCUAUGUGUAUUUCCUGGGAGAGGGAAUUCCAUAGGUGCAGGGUAACCAACAAAAAGGACCUGUUUCCUUGGUUCCAGAUAUAAUCUAUCUAGAAAGCCUCACUCAGUGAUUGUAAAAUGGUGGUGGGGAGGAACCUGUGGUUCUUCAGAUGUAGCAUGGCUAAUGGUGGGAAUUUUCUCAGCCCUGCUACAUGGGAUCCUACAAUAUGGAUAUGCUAGAGCAGGCUUCCUCAAACUCUGCUCUCCAGAUGUUUUUGGCCUACAACUCCCAUGAUCCCUAACUAGCAGGACCAGUGGUCAGGGAUGAUGGGAAUUGUAGUCUCAAAAAACAUCUGCAGGGCCGAGUUUGAGGAAGCCUGUGCUAGAGACUCAACCUGGGAAUGUACGCAUACAAACAUGCAUUUUUACCACUGACCUAUGACUGCUCCCAAACUACAAUAUUCUCUUGAGUGAUUAUACUUGCAGGUGGGAGGGAUCGGGUUGUAGCUAGAUGUAGUCAUCAAAAUCACAAAUCACUACUAUUACUAUUACUUAAGGGGCCAAAUAUGGUUUGACCCUGGGUCUCCCUCUUCUAAAUCUCCUUUUCCUCAAACAAGGUAGAUAUUGGGUGUUGCGAUCACACAUUUGUAUGCAGUGUGUCAUUUGGCCCUUAGUUAAAAUCCUGUCUUUCAAAAAUCUCUCUCCUUCUUUCUUUCUAGGAAAGCUUAAUUGCUGCAGAGGGCUCCCUGCUGUCCACGCACAGACUAUUUUGUUUGGCUGUGGGCACAAGAAGGCCUGGGUUCAUCCUGGUAAUGCAUGGGACCAGAGGCAAAAACUGGGUGAAGCAAUGGCUGUGAUGCUGACUUUUGAUUGUGAGGCUGCAUUUCAGCCACACAAAAUUUGGGGGCUUCUACACAUGCACAUGUCCAUUCAGCCAAGCAGGAGGUAUUAUCACAGUUCAAUGACAUCUUACAAGCCUUUGAGGAAGGUGCAGAUCAGGUACAGGGAGAGGUGUGGGCCUGGGGAGAGUCACAGGGAAGCAAAUAGAGAUAAGCCUGGAGGGCGUCAUUUGGGUCUUAGGCCUCAGGUUUCACAUCCCUAUGGAAGCUAUUAAUUUUAAAACACUGUUUUGAAAUGUUCACUCAUUCUGAAAAAGCAAACAUGCUUUUAAAUCCCCCAAUCUCCAUUUCAAGCUUCAGUAAAAUAGCAACAACCCCCUUCAAGCUUUCACAGUUCUACUCUCACACAGAGCUGACAACUAAAUUUAAUUAUAGAACCGCAGCCUACAAAAUGUCUUAAUUUUUUUUAUUCUGAAGUAGAACCACGAUCUACUUAGUGUCUUGCAUUUUUAUUGCAAACUUUGGACGUGUACUUUACCAAAACAUUUUGAACUGCCCUUUCCUUCUAUAUGCCAGCACAAGAGGACAUUUGCUGACAUUUUGUAAACCAAACAGCUUUGUCUUCUCCCUAAAGCAUUUUAACUGAUGCAUUUGAGCUAGUUUGUUUUUAUGAAAGGAUGAUGGGAAGCUUUCCUGGCAAAAAAAUGCUGAUAAUCAUUGGCAACCUGCCAGGCAGCAGCAAAGUCUAAGUAGAUUAGUGUAGUCAGAACUGGUUGUCUGUAUUGCGUAACUUUCCAUAAAUUAUUAUCUAAAUUCUACAUU
rnacentral:lncRNA from 1 species